GAAGAACGCUGGCGGCAUGCCUAACACAUGCAAGUCGAACGAAGUCUUCGGACUUAGUGGCGCACGGGUGCGUAACGCGUGGGAAUCUGCCCUUGGGUGCGGAAUAACUUCUCGAAAGGGAUGCUAAUACCGCAUAAUGUCGUAAGACCAAAGAUUUAUCGCCCAAGGAUGAGCCCGCGUAAGAUUAGCUAGUUGGUGGGGUAAAAGCCUACCAAGGCGACGAUCUUUAGCUGGUCUGAGAGGAUGAUCAGCCACACUGGGACUGAGACACGGCCCAGACUCCUACGGGAGGCAGCAGUGGGGAAUAUUGGACAAUGGGCGAAAGCCUGAUCCAGCAAUGCCGCGUGAGUGAUGAAGGCCCUAGGGUUGUAAAGCUCUUUUACCAGGGAUGAUAAUGACAGUACCUGGAGAAUAAGCUCCGGCUAACUCCGUG
rnacentral:rRNA from 1 species